rnacentral:misc_RNA from 1 species
CGGCGGCGGCACCGCGUAGUAACCCCCUCUCGCUCGCUUGGACUCCUCGUUCUCUGUCUCGCUCUCUCUUUCGGCCGUUCGCACGCGCGUCCGAGAAUACCCGAUGUUGGAGCAGCACGAGGCCGAGAGGUACCUCGGCGUACGAACCAGUCCGAACGAGUACAUGAGAGUGCGCGAGUGGAGCGAGCGAGAGAGGGUGGUGGGGGAGGAAAGGAAAGAGCAAGAGAGAUUUCUGCGAGCGUUUGCUUUCCUGUCCGGAAGUCGCACUCUACGCACUAUCGCAAGACGAACUCUGUUAAUGCAGGAUGCGGAUAGAAAUUGGUAUCGAAGUACCGGAUAUUUUAUCUUCGAUAUCGUCUAUUUUUAGUAGCGACGUCUUAUUCUUGCACGCUAGACAGAGACUAUUAGAAGACUGAAAUAGAAAGUACUUUGACACGAACUGAAUAAUAUUAGCUAGAAACGAUAUGUAAUAAAUGCCAAAUUUAAACAACUUUUUUUUCGUACAUUUUAAUGACAAAAAUAUAUAUGUUUGUUAUAUAUAAAGUAUUAUAGCUAUAUAAUUAUACAUUAAUAUUAUGUAUAAUAUUUACAAGUAUUAUAUAUAAUAUUUGUCGUUAAAAUAUAUUAACAUAUUAUUCAAUUAUCUAUUGAUUAUCAUCUCUGGUUAACAUUAUUUGGCUCUUUAUUUUCAUAUAUGUAUGGCGUAUUUAUUUUAAUAUAUAUAUGUGUGUGUGUGUGUGUGUGUGUGUGUGUGUGUGUGUGUGUUAUAUUAAUAGAUUAUAUAUUUUUAAAAUGUAUAACAUAGUAAUUACUUACCUGUUUCUCUCUCUCUCUAUCUGAAACCGAUUCUUGUUAGACACAAAAAUCUAAGAAACGCGCACAUUCCUGUUUAAUAUUUUUAUAAAAAAUUUUUAUAAAAAUAUCUUUAUUUUUCAAAUAUGACAGAUUUAAAUGAGAUUAUAUAAAAAAAGUUUUGCUGAUGUAAGUUUGAUUAAGUAAGGUUAAGUUUCAGUACGUAUAAUUAAGUUUCAAAUUUGUCAAAGUCACACAUUUAGCACUAAUUCUUGUCAACUAAAAUAUUUCCUGUCACAUAAAAAAUUUGCUAAUUCCACUUCUGUCAGUUAUGAAUUGUUUAAAUACAAAACAUAUGCAUAUUACAGUAUUUGCCAAUCAUACAUCUAUCUCAGUUAAUUUUUGUAUCCAAUUUUUACUGUGUAAUUGCAAAAACAUUUUUUAGUGAUAGUGUUCGCAUCCAGGAAUAAAUUUUAGUUUUAUCAAGAAAAAUGUAUUCUUAUUAUUCAAUAAUAAUUUUUAUAAGUUAGGAAAAAAAACAAAAAAGUAAUAAUUUUUACAAAGUAAAAAGUAAAAAUUUUUAACACUGUUUUUAUCAAAACAACUAUAUUGUAUAUGAUUGUUUAUAUAACUAUUGUAAUCGUGAAAAGUAUAUUUUGCAGAAUUUAAGACGAUUAAAUUCUUAAAAAAAUAAAUUAUAAAGAAGAUUGUUGUUUUUUAUACAUAAAAAAGAUUUUUUGUUUUAACGUAUACGAAACAAUGAUUGUCAAAUAGAAUAUACUUGUUUUUAAUUUAAUACUAACGUUUUUAAUUUAAUACUUGUUUUUCGUGCAUAAAAUCCCUUAUAAUUUAUGCUUAUAUUUGAUUCUAAGCAAUUAUCAACGCAACAGUGAGAUAUAAAUAGAGAAAUGUGUUUUGGAUAAAACUGUUAUGUUUUUUUUAUGUAGCUUCUAACUCUGUGUGUGUUCAGAUUUAACAAAAAAAAAAACUUUUUUUUAAUAUCCCAUGCCUCAUAUCUUUAAAGAAUUAUUUAUUUAAAUUUCAAGUUGGGCGAAUAUAAAAAAAUAUUCGUCUCUUAGAUUUUUGUAUUCGUCGACAUAUUUCAUGGAGAAUCGAAUGCAAUCUGGACAAUUCUAACAAGGUCUCUCUUAUUAAAAUUCAUUUAUUUACGAUACUAUUCUCUUUGAUUGUCAUCACAAACUGUUGAUCUUUCCGUACAGCAUAGUCUUCGAUACCUUGUAAUGCGAUAUUGAAAACUUGAUGGAAAGUAUCUGUGUUCUAUUAAGCCUAAGCCUCUCUACGCCGAGUGAGUAAAAGCACAUCCGCACUUAAACUUAAGCAUUCCUUUAGCCGUGGGAAACGGAUAGGAUAUCGACCCGGCUCUCUCUCUCGCUCGAACGAUAGGCUCCUUGUAUCGUUCCGACUUUAAUGGCGCGCGGAUGGGACCUGAAAAGUUAACCCUCACCUUCCCCUAUCCCCGGCUCCUACCUCUUAAACUUCGUUUAAAGUCUUUCUAUGGUGACGUAAUGCGGUCUACAUUCGGGCGAAUUCGAUAUAAGUGCGCCGAGUUAUGUGGAACGUUUUUCUUCGGAACUUUAAGUUAUGCAGUAUGAAGUCAAAUACGCGAGAGGAGAGAGAUACCCACACAUGUGCACACAGAAGCAUAUACAUACAUAUGUACAUAGAUACUAAGUCCUGCUGCGAGCAUUGAGAUUGCCUCGCGCGCCACGGAGUGCAUUAUACAGUGAUGUAUCAUCAAAGACGACACACGUUAUAGACAGAUCGAGAGAGCGUCGUGUCUCGCGUGGCGCGCGACUGCAGUGCGAUUUUCUACCUUCUUUUUUCUUCCAUAGCAAGAAGUAAAAGGAUCAGGCCUUUGAGAAAUAAGAGCUGGAAAUGUUUCAGUUACCUCCUCCUCAUGUUAAAUGAUUCCGUGUUCAAGCGACGCUUAUAUCGAAUUCCAUCUAGCAUGUACGGCGUCAGGUUGCACCUGAAGGCGUAGUAAACCAAAUGAGAGCGGCGGGGAUGUAAUCGUAGAGGAAGGCCGGGAUACCUCCGUGUGUGCGUGCGCGCGCGCGCGCACGCGCGCGGGGUUGCCGCCAAGUAAAAUACGGCGGGUACGAGAGGAAAGACAUUAAGGGAACCAUCGACAAUUACGGCUACGGUGCUGCUCAAUGGUAUACAAGGAUGCAGCCUUGCAGAACGUAAUUUCGGGACGUCGCGCGAACAUGAUGUAAUUUCGUGAUAGUUAGUCCGAACCAAAUUGACGGGGUACACAACUACUUGUUAUUGACUAAUAUAGCAUAAGAGUACACCCCUUUGGAUUAUCGGCUUUGCUAAUAAGAUUUGAGGAAGUCCUCCACCUUGGAAAAGUGAAAGAGAAUCAAUUGGAUGUGACUCUUCUGUCGUAUAACUGUAAAGUAAUUAAAACAUAAACAAAACUUAUUUAAACAAUAAAAACGACUAUUUGUUAUUUAGAACAAUGUCGCAAUUGUGUCAUAAAAGUUGUGCGUCUGCUUUUUCUAUGCUAAAGAGAUUCGGGUUUCAAAUUCACCCGAAAUAAUAUAAAAUCUUGAAAUUGAUUAUCGACUCUCGAAAGUAAACCAUCGAGAUAUCUUUGGCAAGACAGUCAUGGCAUUCGAUGAAGAGUUAGUGGAUAAAGAUGAAGCAAAAAGUGCUCAAAUGACAUUCAGAAUUAAACCUCGAAACUCAACUGACCAAGAAGCAUCUUAAUUUUGGAAAACAGUAAGAAACAUAAUAACUGAUAACAAGCAAUAUUGUUACGUUUUUACUAGUAUGAUGUCACAUUUACAUAUAAAGAGAAGUGUAUAUAAUUAAUAAACAUUUCAUACUUCUAUACA